CACACACACACACACACACACACACACACACACACACACACACACACACACACCACUACAAGGGCCUUGUCUUUGAGGGUCUCCAUUGAAUGUGCUUGAGGAGGAUACAUUUACGUUUAUCAAAGUUGUUCCUUCUGUGUCUCUGAUAGGAUUAUAACAUGCUGUUACUGCAGUACAUAUCAGAAUGUUACUGCAGUACAUAUCAGAAUGUUACUGCAGUACAUAUCAGAAUGUUACUGCAGUACAUAUCAGAAUGUUACUGACAGUACAUAUCAGAAUGUUACUGACAGUACAUAUCAGAAUGUUACUGCAGUACAUAUCAGAAUGUUACUGCAGUACAUAUCAGAAUGUUACCGCAGUACAUAUCAGAAUGUUACUGCAGUACAUAUCAGAAUGUUACUGCAGUACAUAUCAGAAUGUUACCGCAGUACAUUUCAGAAUGUUACUGCAGUACAUAUCAGAAUGUUACUGCAGUACAUAUCAGAAUGUUACUGCAGUACAUUUCAGAAUGUUACUGACAGUACAUAUCAGAAUGUUACCGCAGUACAUAUCAGAAUGUUACCGCAGUACAUUUCAGAAUGUUACUGCAGUACAUUUCAGAAUGUUACUGCGGUACAUAUCAGAAUGUUACCGCAGUACAUUUCAGAAUGUUACUGCAGUACAUUUCAGAAUGUUACUGCGGUACAUAUCAGAAUGUUACAGCAGUACAUAUCAGAAUGUCCCUUCUGUGUCUCUGAUAGGAUUAUAACACGCUGUUACUGCAGUACAUAUCAGAAUGUUACUGCAGUACAUAUCAGAAUGUUACUGCAGUACAUAUCAGAAUGUUACUGCAGUACAUAUCAGAAUGUUACUGCAGUACAUAUCAGAAUGUUACUGCAGUACAUAUCAGAAUGUUACUGACAGUACA
rnacentral:lncRNA from 13 species